CCAGGUGCUUUCCAUGUUCACUCCAGGUUGCUGAAACAAGAAGUGUGUCCAGCCUCCAGGGCUUGCCAGCAGCUAUUGACUGAUACGAGCACACUGUCCUCGGUGGCAGGAGGGAGCAACUUGCUUUAUCUAUGCAUUCCCUGGCAAGCAGCAGCAGUGGAGAAAGAGACAUGUCUCACUGGCCAGUGUCCAGUCCCUGGCAAGCCAAAUCAUUCUACAAGCUCUGAAACUGAAGAUAAAAAAUCAGCAAUGGAACAUUGCUGCUUGAGUCAGAGGUGUGAAGGAAUCAGCUCUCCACUCCAUGAUCCAUCCUCCAGCUCACAGCUGGUACAAAUGGGUACAUCCUUGGCAGUUCAAUCACUACUGUCCCAUUGGCUGGAAAUGUUGUAUUUUCUGACAUUAGAGUAUACACAGAUUCAUCUCAGAUGGCAACCAUGAAACUAAAUGUGCUGUUGUAAUGAUGGGAAAAAUCUUCAGUGCUUUGUUUUAUUUGACCAGUCCUCAAAAGUCAAGGUAUCCUGCUUAGAGCAUUAAGAAAAUACCCUGUAUUUUGUCCACUUACAAGUGACACAGUGGCUCUGCUUCAUACCAGAAUGUCCAUUCUCUAACACCACAUUUAUUGGAAUAAUAGGAAAAGAAAAAUUAUUUUUUUUUUUUUAGUAGGGGGGAUUGGGGUGUUUAAAGUUUAUGUUGUACUCUCAAGUCCAGAAAUCUUUUGUUUCUGGUAGGAGCUGUGCCACCUUAUUACUGGUAUUGGCUUUCUGCACAGGCCUUUAGUUGGGAUUUUACUCCACUGAGAAGUUUUCUUGUUUUGAUUGGGGAUGUUUUUUGUCCUGGUGACAAUUUUAGGUCAUGCCAAACCUCCACGUGAACAUCUCAGUUACACAGCUGCAGCCCCACCUUCCUCCAAAGAAACACUGAGAGCAUUCCUCCCCCUCACAAAGAGUGUGAGCUCUUUGCCCAGAACAACAGAGGCUUUCCUGGUAGCAAAUACCUAUUCCUCUAGUCACUCAAAGGAGAAAACAUGUUGGUGACAAGUCUUUUCCUUUUUUUUUUUUUUUGUUCUUUCCAUAGGGAAGAAUCUUGAUUCCUACCCAAAUUCUGUUUGGGUUUUUUUGUGUUUUUGGUGGGUUUUCUUUGUUUUAUGAAAAAGGCAUCGCCAUGUAAGGGGUGUUAAAUUGCUGCUGAGCCCAGAUGACGGUGGGAGGAUAGCAUUUUGCUGUUUCCUUUCCUGCAACGCUGGCUCAUGAAGCUGUGUCCCAAAUCGCUGGCAGUGUGGCUUUGCAGUGUUGUGGACAGUGAGCUGGCUCAGGUAGCUGCAGCAUACCCCACACCCUUGUACCACUGAGCAAGUGAAGUCAAUGAAGAGUUUGACAGUUUGACAGCUGUAGGAAAACAACUGUAUAUGAUGAUUAAUAAAUAGAGAAUAUUUAUGAAUGCCUUCCCUCUG
rnacentral:lncRNA from 1 species